CACGACAAGAUGCGGUGCUACAUCGUGGUGCACAACGUCUUGUCUUCUCGGACGAAUGGUGACCGUGCAUAAAGCAGAGGGCGAAGUAGGGACACGCAACAAUCGUGUACGAAUGUCGAAAUAGUUCGGACCAGAGAAAUGAUCGGACCUCAAGAGGAAAAAAAAACGGCCGCCUUCCGUCAGAGAAAGAACAAUCGGUGAAAGGAAGACGGUGCCGGCACCAAAUCUGUAUCUUCUGUAGCCGUAUAUGGCCCCAGAAUUCGCAGAAGAGUAGCCACCGGUGUUUAGAAUGUCAAGAUUGGACCGACGCACACACACACACACACACGCCGGAGUUGAUGACAGGGAUACAAACAUCGCUUACGUCUGUGGCGCGUGUAAAUAGUUGCACCCCGUCUUGUCCCAUAUGCGUGGGGGACACCGUUCUUGCGUCUAAACCGAUUCUCUUUGUACUUUGUAUGUUCGACUUCGACAGGAGAGAGAUUGCGACUUUAACAGUUUUACAUGUACACUAUACUCGAGCGUUAUUUAUAAACAUGUUAUCAAUAAGUACGAUGAUUUGUAA